AAAGAAAAAGAGACUCAUGGGCCAAUCAGCGUCUAGAACUUGGUUGAAGUUGCCAAGGAACCGUGAGCACUUGCGUAAGUGCCUGAAAUAAACCCAGGCCACUGUGGUCAUAACCGUACUGUCCCCUAUGCUGGCUAGCCAACAGGUACGGUUCUAGGCACUUCACAAACACUUCUUGGGAUGUUAACUGUCAGAUAGUCAGUAAGGAUUUUCUGGCAAAAGCGGGCCAGAGAAUAGCUGCCCCUAAGAAACUCCGCUGAGCCGAAGCGCUCACCGCCCUUCUCUAAGCCGUGGGCACUGAGACCAUAGCUGUUCCUUCCCCUGUGGCUAAGAUGUGAUUUGCUGGCGAGAAGACUGGACUCGGCAAAGGGCCUCAGGUCCGCCACUCCCAGGCCGACCCGCUGCGGGGACGCUUCUCUGCCGCUCUGAACCCCAGUUUGCUCCACCAGCUAUAAAGACAGCGGCCUCACCGAGAGCAAAGCGUGAAACGAGAUAAUCCGUGUGAGAGUUCAGAUCGCGGUGCCAGGUUCACGGCAAGAACCCAACACCCAGCUGGCAGAACAGCACCUUGUAAAUAGCAGAGGCAGGAGGCGCGGGUGGGAGCCCGGCAGCAGGGAGCCUGGAUUCUGGGAGGAGAUAGAAACCUCCGCGGAAUAUACUACCCCACCCCACGGCCCAGCACGCACCAAGUCUGAUGAGCUCUUGAAAUUGUCCUCUUCUAGGGGCCAGGCAUAUGCAUACACCUGCGGGCACUUUGUUCCAAGCCAGCCCCUCAGCUGGGGCUGAGGAAACCAAAAGGACCAGGCAGCAGGCUGUGAGUCCCGCAGGCACGCUGGCCCCGCAUCCCCAUUAGACUGCGAGGUCCAAAGCCCCACUCGGCGCCAAUCCUUUCUGCAGGCAACGGCCAACCCCCCAACUAGGAGAAUCAAUGGAUUUUUCUCCCCACCGAUACCUAAAUAGCUAUUUGAAUGUGUUCUGUAACAGGAGGAGCUGUUGAACAAAAGGUCAGGGCUGAUCUGAAGUCCGUCUUUCCGUCGGCAGUUGCUUUUAAACACGCAAUGCUCCAGCUCUGCGAGGCCCUGAAGAUAAAAAAAAAAAUUAUAUAAAUGUACAAAUGACUUUAUGACUUUGAUUAUGCAACUUCUGAGAAAAUAGCCAUCUGAACCGUUAAGGAAGACUAAAGAUAUUGUGAUAAAGAAGACUCUUUGAAAUUCUGCUUUUUAAAAAAAAAAAAAAAUCUAUGUCAUGAGAUAUGAAUGUAGCCAAAGCCUUGAUAAAAGUCGUGUCAGCCUUUUGCCACAGAAGCUGCCGAAGCAUGAAAGAGACCACGGGCCUGGAGAUCUUUGCUGCCUUUAAAGUCUGGCUUAUUAACAUGCAUUAGAGUCUUCCUGAAGAUGGGUCUGGCCAAAGGUUAUCAAGGGAAACUUAAUUUAAUGAGCCCAGAACACAGGGAGAGGAGCCCUGUAAAGCCAACACCGAGAGGAAUUUGGGGCAAGGGCAUUUCAUUUUCUGAAGAGGAGAAACAAAGAUAAACUCAUUAAAGCGCAAGAAACGGCAGGCGGAAGGUGAAGGGAAUGGCCUUGGGACUGCAAGCUGUGCCCACCCUCUCGUAAGAAGAAUGCCCUUGGAAAAGUCCCCAGCUUUACUUAAGCCCUGGCUUGCUGAUUUUUAGCCGGAUAAGAGUAAUAUCUGUGUCACAAGGCUUUGGUGAGCAUCAAAUGUGAUCAUAGAUGUGCAAGCAUCCUGCAAAUGCAACAACUCUAAAAGGGUCAUAUCCUGCCCUUACUUUACCAAUGGAGAAUCUAAGGAACACAAUACCUCAGUAACUUGCGAAGAGUCACAUGGUCAGUAAGUAGCAGAACCAGGCUUCAAACCCAGAUCUGACUGCAGGGACAAUGCUCUGAACCGGAUGCUACCCCACCUUCUCUCUCCUGCCGUGUUAUUAAAUCAGACUUUUUCUAAAAAGAGAAUAAGACUCCACUGUUUCACGACCUACUUGGAAACAGAGUAUGGCCCAGAUAGAGGAUGGACUGUGUCUUUCUUCUUCCUCAGGGCCAAGAAACUGUCUGCAAUAAUCUGGAGGCCCGUGAGCCACAUGACAACUGUAGGUGAACUAGGGUUCAAAAGGUAACUAGAGUUUGGUAGACUUGUGAACUGAGUUUGGAGUCCUGCAGUCACUGGUAUGCAAAGGCAAAAAGGGUAGUCACUGAAGAGGAUGACUUAAAGAACCCAAGUGAAGAAUUGGCUACAUUAAAUGAAGGAAAACUAAUUCAGAGGCCACUAACUCUGCAUUGGGGUGGGAGACGAAAAAUCAGAACUCUUUUUAUAAGAUUGGGAAUUCACAAAUAGUCUCUGCUGUGAUUGGAGAGAGAGAAUGUAUUUCGGGCGAUAAAAGUAGGAAGAGGUCAAUAAACAUUUCUGAAAGCACAGAUGACCAGUUGAAAAGACUAUCUUACGAAAAUGAAUCUAUUACUGAAGUGCUGGACCAACAAAGGAAAGUAGAGGUUGAAGUCAAAGCCGUAGGGAUUCAGCAAACUGUUGCUAAAGUAACAAUCCAUUACGAGGCUAUUGUAACACAAGAAACCUUGAGAAGGAUGAUUGAUAAAAACACUUGGAGUGGAUAUAGAGGAGGACAAAAAAUUUGUGUGGAGGUGUAUGGCCUAGAUUACUUAUAGAAGACUGGUAUCAUCAGUAAAAAAUAGAAAAACACAAAUAUUCAGUUAGGAGAAAAGUUAACGACAGUAAUGGCUACCAUUUUUUCAUUGAAAUAUCACUGUGCCAAUCAUUGUAUCACUCUUCAGACCCUAUGUAAUUGAGUCUUCACAAACAUACUGUGCUCUAGGCAAUUGUUGUUCUCUUCUACAAUAAUAAAGAAAAAAGUCUCAGGUUAAGUUAUUUGCCUAAAGUCACAUAGGUAGCAAGAGAUGGUCCCAAAAUAAUGAGAUGAGUCUUAAACAUUUUGAGAUGUCGACAGAGUAUUACAAAAGAAAUACUGAAAUACAAUUUGGAAAAUGGGGUAGGAAGAAAAUUAACUGGAGGUAUCACUGUAAUGAUUUUGUUGCCUGAAGGGACCACCAUGACCUGUGCCUUAAUGGCACCAAGGUGAGGGUGUGAGGCUGGAAACGCAAAUUAGGGACCUUGUCAAGGUCAAGGUCCUUGUCAAGGUCCUUGUCAAGGACCAUGUCAUGACCUUGUCAAGAAGGAAACGCUGGAAACGCAAAUUAGGGACCUUGUCAAGGUCAAGGUCUUUGUCAAGGUCCUUGUCAAGGACCAUGUCAUGACCUUGUCAAGAAAAGAUGGUUUCCUGAAGAAAUAUCCAAAGGAGGUGGGGGAGCAGACUACAUGACAGGAUUUUGUGAAUGCUCAUAAGUCAAAGAGUAGUUUGACCAUUAGGAUGUCCAUUAUCCAAAAAAAACAGAAAAAAAGUAUGUGAAGAAACUGGAACCCUUGUGCACUGCUGAUGGGAAUGUAAACAGGCACAGCCGCUGUGAAAACCAAUAUAUGAGAUCUAAAAUGGCUAAAAUAAUGAUGGGAAAUAACUACUGUGUUUCAGCAUAAUGGAAAAAAAGAUAAUGGCUAACAUGGUAAAUGCUAUGCUAUAUAUAGUUUAUCAGAAUUUUAGAAGCGUAAAGUUGGAUGAAGAAUGAGGCUCUUCCACUCUGCAUUAUGUGUGUUGUGAGGAGGUUGGAGAGGUCCAACUAACCAUCUUAAAGGACGGUCCAACGCACCGUCUUAAAGAGCCUAGCAUUAGGAAAACAAGUUAUAGGUGUAUAGUUGCUGAUUUUUAUGCUCUGACCCACCUCAUCUAAAGAAGAGAGACUAAGGGGCGCCUGGGUGGCGCAGUCGGUUGAGCGUCCGACUUCAGCCAGGUCACGAUCUCGCGGUCCGUGAGUUCGAG